CUGACGUAGUUUCCGUCCGCGUAGAGCGAUUCGUGCUGUUUCGAAUACGAGAAAUGUGAAAUCUCGCAAAAUAGUGUAAAGUGAAAGUGAUUUUCCACGAUUUUUCGUCUCUCAUAUAGUGCUGGAUGUCAUUUCAACCUGCAGUACAUCGGUUCGCCAAGUACAUCACGUAAAAGAUCAAUAUUACGAGAUACGUGUAUAUCAUUGCACUUUGGUGAUGGCCCGUCAGAGAAUAAUUGCAGCGAGGUUUUCGAAGCGAGUUCGAAGUGAUCAGUAAUUCAGCGAGUUUAACAAACACCACAUUGAGAAUUCAUACGGACGUAGUGAAAGAACAGUUAAAGAAAAGUGAAAGAAGACCAGCAGAGAAAGUACGGUUAGCAAACCGCCGCACUGGGAACCCGGUCUUUCAUUACACGUAGAUUCGCCAUUCGAGAUUCAUCGUUUCCUCAACGUCUCGUCGUUCCAGGUUCCAUCUCCCGGAAGUCAACGCGCACAGGUAAUCAGUUGAAUGCGUCGAGGUUAUUUAAUGGAACAGUAAUUGUCAUGGAGUUCUACACUAACUGUUUGCACUCACAGUGGUGUGCAAAUUGCACUUUUUUUGUUAAGAGUACUCGAGUUUUUGGUAACACCAACUUUAAUUCUGAUUACAUUUUAAACAGUUUUGAUGAAGGAAUUAUCUGACGAAAAUCUGAUAAUUCUUUAACCAUCAUUUUUCUUCGAAUAUUGUUUCUCGAUAAAUUGAUAUCCGGAUGUUGGAAAAUUUGAUAUGAUUUUCAAGGGAUAUUUAAUUUUAAUACAGUAUUCGAUUACGGUGUUCGUUGUGGAACGUGUCGCAUUACUUCGGUAGACAUCUGGCAUAUCUGUCGUGUCCUCUGCACUCAGUGUUGAUCGGAUUGUCAAAACUAGGUCAAAUCUUCUUGCAUAUAGUAUGUCAUCGUGACGCGAAUCGGUGAAGAUCAAAAUUUCAAAUCGAAAUAUACAUGAUAUCUAUACGUUAUGUGGAGCACACUGCAUUAUUCCACUUAUGAAUCGAUACGAUCACAGCGAUUCGGUAACUAUCCCUCUCCCACGCACUAACGACUCGUUGUCGUUAUCGCAAUCUCUAAGCCUGCAUUGAGCGUGGGCAAACUUCACAUAACAAAGUUUGGCUGAAUCUAAACUAGCGUAAGUUAUGUGACCUCAUAUCGGUCACUAUUGGAAACUCGGUUACGCAUUCAACUUCGCGACAGUUGCGAGUCUCAGUAGUAACUUUUGUCCAAAAUAAUGUGUUCCAAUACGAUUCCACAGAAUGUACUGUUUUGCAUUUUUUCCCCAAAAAAUGCAUUUUUUACAAUAUCAUAUUUCUCGAAACAAACGUAUCUCCGAAAUGAAAACUUUCGUUUCAUUUAAAUUAGUUUUUAUUUUUGUAGUUUUUAACAUGUAUCAUGUGUAAUACAACAAGUUAGUUAACAGAAAGAAAAAGCACAUGCAAUAUUUUCGUGUCAAUCAAUAUCUCGAAAUAAAAAAUUUAUUUAAUUUUAAGAGACAUAUCGGUUUGUCACGUAUUAUAUUUUUUAUAGUAUCUGUCUAUUUCAGUAAGCGUUAUGGCAAAUUGUUUACGUUAAUCUAAAUAAUAAAUACAUUGUGCAAGAGAGAAAUAUUGAUCGACGUUUUAAUCCUCGAAAGCUACAGUGUCGUUACUAGCAAUCGUAUAAUCGUACAUCACGAGUAUCGAGUAUGUCUACCCACACAUUAUGUACUUUGCAGUGUCUCCUUUACCGUCGAGGGUAACAUUUCCUAUUGUCUCACCAAAUUCAUCCGUUCUGUGCGCAGACCAUGUUAAUUAGACCAUCCUGUAGAACGUUUCUAACCGUUGAUUUUGGUGACGUUGGAAAACGAAGUGUAAAUUAAGGAGAGAGAGAGAGAGAAAGACAGUAAGAGAAACCGAGAAUACUGCGACGAAAGAUGUUCACAAUACAGCUGGAAAUAGUCACGUUGUUACGCUUUGCGGUCAUUUUAUCAAAUAUUCGUGAAUUAUUAAUAAUUAGUUAUCUUUCCAAAGUAUUAUUUAAUUAAAUUCUUCAAAACACUGCUUUACGAUAUUUUAAUUGUGCGAAUUUGAAAACAGGUAUUGAACAAUUGAUCGCACUUAUUUAUGAUGCUCUGAAUUAGAUACGUUUCGAAAAAAUGUUAUAUCUCUCGAUAUAUUUCCGAAAUACGAAAUGUCAUUUAAAUUUAUGUAAUGUAAUAUUAUACUUUUCUCUAUCUUCCUCUUUACUUUUUUCUCUUCUUCUCUCUCAAUUUAAUUGUUUUGCUAAUUUAUCACUUAAAUCCCAUGCUGCGUACUGCAGCUUCGUGAAUAUGUAUAAUAAAGAAUUCGUUAUUUUGAGAUUGCUCCUUAAUCCUUGUCUGCGUAUUUAAGACAUUAAAAAUUAAUGAAGAAAUAGAGCGUUUGCAGACUUGUCUCCCGCUUCUUUCAUAAUUCCGUCUGCAAGGCGACUACGCGAUGGAAAAGAGAGAAGAGCUUCUCGACUAAGUCCAUUCAGAGAAGCUUUAUGAAGCGUUUCUUUAUCCGUGCUUGCGCAAUGUGCACAAAAGCAAUGUCGGAUUUACAACAGCUUUGAAGACUACGGCUAUCAAUAAUAAAAUUUUGCCUAAGGCUUCGGCUCGCGCGCGAGCGGUAGUGUAACAGUAUUCCUUUGAAAAGCACAUCUAUUGUUAAAUCUGUCAGUCGACAUCGCGCGAUACAUCGGCUGGGAUAUUCACGCGCGAGCUCGCGAUUAAUGCGUUAACCGCAUUUGAGCGUGACGAGUUGCGUGCGAAACGAAGGGAGAAAUUUAUCCAGAAAGUACGCACGCGUGCUUCUAUCUCUGGCGCAACAGAAUUUUAUUUCUAGAUCGUGCGGUCCGUAUUAUAUGAGAAAACUGUCUGAUUUGAAGGACAAAGGUCUACGAUUUUUUUAUCCUUUACGCACGGCGCAGCGGUGCGUGCGCCUGUCAGCAUCCUCCGGCUCGUCGCGAGGGAUCGAUCUCGUAACAGACGAGAGAGAGAGUUCGACUCGUGGUGUGUGAUUAAUUUACGCGACACUCUCGGAGAAUGCGCAAUCUAUUAAUAUAAUCAUUAAGCAGGCCGUUCAGCACACUUGACAGUGCUGCGAGCUCGCAAUUAACAGCAUACACGAGACGAACGGGGCCACGGUUGACACGCUUACAAAUUAACGUGUCAGCCGGGCGCCGAGAAAUGCGGCCCCGACGCAAGCAAAAUGGAAUCGCGUGCAUGGCACGUGACAUACAAAAAUUUUCAGCGAUGCAUAACGCCAGGUUGUUACGGAUACCGUAUAUUUUAAGGGACAUGGGAGAAUAAUGCAACGGCAUUUCAUACACGUCGAUACCGAGCGCCCGGGAAUAAAAUGCGUACAUCGGCUACAUCGCCACGAUCGCAGUUGCAGUUUUCCGAGUUUCCGAGCGCGCGGUAUUGCGGUGCGUUCGAUUGAAUACGAAUAACUCGCGUUAUAGAAAUUCGAUACCGAUUUUCGUCAUACGAUAAUGGCGGAGAGAAGGGUUUAAAUUUCCUGGAGGUGGAUGGAACGGUCUUCCUCGUCGCGCGAGCGGCAGCAACGCCGACAAAUAGCACGACAAAGACGCAAAUUUGCAUGCUCGCCAGGGAUGAGCGCGACUACGCUGCUUCACGCGCAUUUCUUUCUGACGCUCGCGGCUUUCUUCAUCGAUGGUGCUCGAAAAACGUAUAAAUGCUAGUAACAUUAUGUCGUUUUUGUCUAGUCUCUUUUCCUCGUACAAAUGACUUACGUUCAGAUAUCUCUGCUUCUGCUUUGAGUCAAUUUUAAAAAUUUCAUAUAGUUGCAUUUAUUGCGUUGUUUCUAUUUUUACGAGAUAUUAUUUUUUCUUUUAUAGCUUCUCUUUACUAUCAGCUCGCAGAAUAUAUUCAGCAACAGUGCACUUUUAUGGAAUUCUGGUAAUUGAACAAACGCAUUAUUCUCGAAUAACAUUCUGCAGAAUACUUGGGAUUGGAAUUUAUGCGAAUCCGUGCAUAUAUGCGAGUAAUAAGCUAAUUUAACGGUAUCAAAAAAUAGUUGGCAAACAGCGUCAAUAAAAAUUGGAUAAAUGGAAUGAAUGGUUUAACGAAUGCGACUUCAUUAUUUUCGCAGAGAGAAAGCGACGAAAACCAAUACAAUUACGUGCAUCGGCAUGUAACGAUGUUCCAAUAACUCGAUCAAAAACCAGGAUAUAGGACUUUGCCAUGGCGUAAUAACAUUAACAUUAUAAUUGCUUCGGUCCCACUUCUUUAGAUCCAAUUUCUUGUAUCAUAAAACUAAAGACGAAGUAUUCUGUUUUGAUUACGAUACAGUUUCGUAUCUAAACAAUUAUGAAAUUAUGGAAGAAUUGGAAAGACGCUGUCACAUUUAUCAGAAAAA
rnacentral:lncRNA from 1 species